rnacentral:rRNA from 1 species
AGAGUUUGAUCCUGGCUCAGAACGAACGCUGGCGGCAGGCCUAACACAUGCAAGUCGAACGCACCGCAAGGUGAGUGGCGCACGGGUGAGUAACACGUGGGAAUGUACCCUUUGGUUCGGAAUAACGUUUGGAAACGAACGCUAAUACCGGAUGAGCCCUACGGGGGAAGGAUUUAUCGCCAAAGGAGCAGCCCGCGUCUGAUUAGCUAGUUGGUGGGGUAAAGGCCUACCAAGGCGACGAUCAGUAGCUGGUCUGAGAGGAUGAUCAGCCACACUGGGACUGAGACACGGCCCAGACUCCUACGGGAGGCAGCAGUGGGGAAUAUUGGACAAUGGGCGGAAGCCUGAUCCAGCCAUGCCGCGUGAGUGAUGAAGGCCUUCGGGUUGUAAAGCUCUUUCGCACACGACGAUGAUGACGGUAGUGUGAGAAGAAGCCCCGGCUAACUUCGUGCCAGCAGCCGCGGUAAUACGAAGGGGGCUAGCGUUGUUCGGAAUUACUGGGCGUAAAGGGCGCGUAGGCGGCUUAUCAAGUCAGGCGUGAAAGCCCCGGGCUUAACCUGGGAACUGCGCUUGAGACUGUUAGGCUUGAGUACCGGAGAGGUAGGUGGAAUUCCCAGUGUAGAGGUGAAAUUCGUAGAUAUUGGGAAGAACACCAGUGGCGAAGGCGGCCUACUGGACGGUAACUGACGCUGAGGCGCGAAAGCGUGGGGAGCAAACAGGAUUAGAUACCCUGGUAGUCCACGCCGUAAACGAUGUCGGCUAGACGUUGGGGCUCUUAGAGCUUCAGUGUCGCAGCUAAC